rnacentral:lncRNA from 1 species
UUGAGAGCUUUUCACUGUUUUCACCGGAUAUCCGACAACAUAUCUCUAAAUUCAACGUGCUGCCUGGUUGUUGCUAACCCAUUUCAUUCCAUUUCUCGUUCGUGAGAACAAACAUGAACAAAAAGUUGAAGCCUUAGUUUAUAUUCCCUUCAUUCCACAAUGUAGUGAUUCUUCUAUCCCCGUACUUCAACUUUAACCGUAAAUUUAACUACCAAGACCGAUUGCGGCGGGAGCAAAAAUUAUAUCAAUGAAUUUGUAUUCGGAAGAAGUUUUUAAUUAUAUAAUCUUUUUCUCCCGUCGCAGUUGGUCUCGUUGGUUAAAUUUAUGAUCAAAGUUAUACCUCAAAAAACGCGGGCGCACUAUAUUUUGAAACGGAGGGAGUACUACAUUCAUUCACAUAUCGAAUAUUGGCGCGCUUCAACAAUCCAGACGAACUGCUCUGAAGUCUGAACAUCACCGUGCAUGCGUACGUUGUAAGUACAAGAAAAUCGGACAGGAUCGACCAAGACACGACCUCUGGAUCGACGCCAUUACCUUAUUCUCAUCUCCUCCGCCUCAAAU